AUUUUUUGUUAUAAUAACUUGACUUUCUUUACAUAUUGUUUGUAAAAUCAACACAGAGUGUCAAUCAAACGGUUCACAGGUGUAAAUGGAUAUAGUUUUAAGCCACUAGGGCAAUCACUAAUGAUCCUUCCGCAGGUUCACCUACGGAAA
rnacentral:misc_RNA from 1 species